UCCUGUAAAAAUAAUGACACACCAGCGCAUGAGAUCGGCCUGAUCUGAUUGUCCAUGUCCGAACCACAAAUGAUCUGUCCAAUUCAUUGAAGGAAGGGGAAGGAGAAAUGAUUUGAUACAAGAGUAGUGAAUUACUUUUCUGUUUUUUACUGAGCGAGAACGUGUCAAAUGAAAUUUAGUGUGAAUGUGAGUAGUGAUGAUGUUGGGGCGCUGGAGUCAUUUUGGUUGGGUCCAAUUCAGAUCCAGCUCCAGAGGAGCUACCCAGCGCAUGCAUCGGUAACAACGACCCCAAAAAAGAAAGAUCAGCCAUUGGCAGGGGUUGCAAGUUUGACAAAAUGGAAACGGACAAAGAAGGAAUUUUCAACAUCGACCACCCUAUGCCGUGCGGUGUGUCAGACGACGUGAUUGGCUUCAAGUUCGACCUUAAGGAAAAAGAUGAAGAUCCCAGUUAGGACGGCGGGGAGGUGAACUACCGUAUUGUUGUCUCCACUUGUCGAAGAAGGGGAAGAGGACAGUAGCACAAUCAUGGCGGGCAGGGGGCUGGCCAGGCGGAGUCUGGGGAGCGGAGGAGGAGGAGGAGGAGGAUCUCGCCUUCUUGAUCUCCAUAAUGUUGCCGAGCAAGAAGGCGGGGGGUGGUCCAUUGAUGCCUUGUUUCCUCAGCAAGGACCUCAACUUUCCCGGCUUCACCACCAGCGCGUUGUACAGCCUCAGCAACACUCCUAGUACCCCCACCACGGCUAUAGAUAUCAGCGCCUUUGCGUUCGAGUACUGCAGAUAUUCCAUCGCUGAUGAUCCUCCCAAGUCCUUGUGUGAACUUCACUCCGGAGUUCUGGAGACUUGGAGAUGACAGCACUGAUUGGGAGGUGGCUAAUGGGUUUGGUGGGAUGGAUGGGGGGUUGUGAUGCUGUUGCCAGAUGCUAAGCAAGGCUCGCUUAUAUAUAUACAAAGAGUGACCAGGACAAGGUCGUCAUAAAAGAAAAACGAGUGUAGCCCGCCAAGUAAGUCCCGUCAAAGUGGAAUUGCGAAUGUCGAAAUCACACUCCCUUUUGAUUAAAAAUAGGAAACUGCGAACCCAUUUUACGACGACCGGCAUGGUUUGUCAGAGAGCGAGGACAACCGAGCACUCAUUUUCUAUAUGGAAUUUGGAGCUGAUUACCUUGGAGUGGGCUCUCUCUCCACCUCUCAAGGACCCCACCAGCAAAAGGAAACAAAAGGAGGAAUGACCUUUGGAACACAACAAUUAACAAAACCUUCAAUGUGCUUAACGUGUUCCCUUUUCACUUCUGAAUGUCGUAUUAAACCAGUUCCAAUUUUAUUAGGGAAACUCUUAGGAUCCAUUUGUGAUGCUCUUUUUUGCUUUGAAUAUUUUAGUAUUCUAAAAUGAACGAGAUCCGAUUUUCAUUCA